rnacentral:rRNA from 1 species
UACGUAGGGUGCGAGCGUUGUCCGGAAUUACUGGGCGUAAAGAGCUCGUAGGCGGUUUGUCGCGUCGUCCGUGAAAACUUGGGGCUCAACCCCAAGCUUGCGGGCGAUACGGGCAGACUUGAGUACUGCAGGGGAGACUGGAAUUCCUGGUGUAGCGGUGAAAUGCGCAGAUAUCAGGAGGAACACCGGUGGCGAAGGCGGGUCUCUGGGCAGUAACUGACGCUGAGGAGCGAAAGCGUGGGUAG